rnacentral:rRNA from 1 species
UACGUAGGUGGCAAGCGUUGUCCGGAUUUAUUGGGCGUAAAGAGCUCGUAGGCGGUGUGUCACGUCGGCCGUGAAAACCUGCAGCUUAACUGUGGGCGUGCGGUCGAUACGGGCAUCACUGGAGUUCGGCAGGGGAGACUGGAAUUCCUGGUGUAGCGGUGAAAUGCGCAGAUAUCAGGAGGAACACCGGUGGCGAAGGCGGGUCUCUGGGCCGAUACUGACGCUGAGGAGCGAAAGCGUGGGGAGCAAACAGG